GGAGAGUUGCCAGAGCGGACGAAUGGGCUCGCUUGGAAAGCGUGUGAGGUCUAACCGGCCUCCGUGGGUUCGAAUCCCACACUCUCCG
rnacentral:tRNA from 1 species